AUUGAACGCUGGCGGCAGGCCUAACACAUGCAAGUCGAACGGUAACAGGAAGAAGCUUGCUUCUUUGCUGGCGAGUGGCGGACGGGUGAGUAAUGUCUGGGAAACUGCCUGAUGGAGGGGGAUAACUACUGGAAACGGUAGCUAAUACCGCAUAACGUCGCAAGACCAAAGAGGGGGACCUUCGGGCCUCUUGCCAUCGGAUGUGCCCAGAUGGGAUUAGCUAGUAGGUGGGGUAACGGCUCACCUAGGCGACGAUCCCUAGCUGGUCUGAGAGGAUGACCAGCCACACUGGAACUGAGACACGGUCCAGACUCCUACGGGAGGCAGCAGUGGGGAAUAUUGCACAAUGGGCGCAAGCCUGAUGCAGCCAUGCCGCGUGUAUGAAGAAGGCCUUCGGGUUGUAAAGUACUUUCAGCGGGGAGGAAGGGAGUAAAGUUAAUACCUUUACUCAUUGACGUUACCCGCAGAAGAAGCACCGGCUAACUCCGUG
rnacentral:rRNA from 1 species